rnacentral:rRNA from 1 species
AUGGCGCUCCUACCUCGGCGGUUUCUGUUCGGAGUUUGCGCUGUAGUGCUGGUGAUCGGCCUCGCAAACUCUGUGCACGGCGAGGCGGCGCCGGUCGUGGUCGGCCUGGCCAGGUGCUCGGACUGCACAAGGAAGAACAUGAAUACCGAGGCAGCUUUCAAAGGUCUCCAAGCCGCUGUCAAGUGUAAGAAUGGCGAGGGCGAGUACGAGAGCAAGGCCGCGGGGCAUGUGGACAAUUCCGGCGCCUUCAGCGUCCCCCUGAACGUGGGCCUCGUCGGCGAUGACGGCGAGCUGAAGCAGGACUGCUUCGCGCAGCUCCACAGCGCGUCUGGUGCGCCGUGCCCCGGGCAAGAGCCCUCCAAGAUCAUCGCGGCACGGCCCGGCCGCGACGGCCAGACGACUUUCGUGGCGCUCGCCGGCGAGGUGCACCGACCGUUGGCUGAAUGCGCCUCGGCGUUCUUGUGCCAUCCUCUGCACAAUCACCACCUGGCCGUCUUCCACAAGCCCGUGAUUGUCCGUCCCAAGCCCGAUCAUUACCAUGAUCAUGACCACGAUCAUGGCCACGAUCACGAUCAUGAUCAUCACCACGACCAGGAUCUCCCGCCUGCUGUCAACAAGCCGCCAACGACGCCGGUGUACACGCCGACGAUGCCAACCCCCACGCCGAUCUACCAUCCCACGGCCCAGCGUGACGCCGUCACGGAGCCACAGCUCUUCAAGAAGAUGCUCCUGUUCCUCAAGAAGCUACCGUUCUUCCCUCCUGCCAAGCAGAGCGGCAAGCCGUAG